UCCGAAGUAGCUCAGUGGUAGAGCAAUCGGCUGUUAACCGAUUGGUCGUAGGUUCGAGUCCUACCUUCGGAG
rfam:Lysinibacillus manganicus DSM 26584 contig30, whole genome shotgun sequence.